rnacentral:lncRNA from 1 species
GGCCAUGUAUACUGGAGCUCCCAUUUACUAUUAUCAUAACUGAUGAAGAAACCUUCUUUUUUCACCUGCCAAUACACAUUCUCGUGCCCUGCAUCUCUCGUCGGCAUAUACACGUACCAGUUUGAGAAUUCAGUACUCCCGGCUUUUGCCCCACAUUUCCAUGUAUCUUUGAGGAAUGCUUUCCAUCGGAGAUGAUCUCCGGGAUUCACCAUGUUUCCCGGAUCCUCCUCUACUGGACACCCUAUGUUUAUCGUGUUUGGCAUUUGGUUCAACACGUCUAGGUUUGCUUUCCCGGCUUCAUCACCUCGUACUGUCAACAGGUACAUUGCAAGUGCAAGGCCUAGCGUCA